CCUACGGGUGGCAGCAGUGGGGAAUAUUGCACAAUGGGCGAAAGCCUGAUGCAGCAACGCCGCGUGAAGGAAGAAGGCCUUCGGGUCGUAAACUUCUGUUCGUGGGGAAGCAACACUGACGGUACCCAAGGAGGAAGCCCCGGCUAACUACGUGCCAGCAGCUGCGGUAAUACGUAGGGGGAAAGCGUUAUCCGGAAUUAUUGGGCGUAAAGAGUACGUAGGUGGCAACCUAAGCGCAGGGUUAAAGGCAAUGGCUCAACCAUGGUUCGACCUGGGAACUGGGAUGCUUGAGUGCAGGAGAGGAAAGCGGAAUGCAUGGUGUAGCGGUGAAAUGCGUAGAUAUUAGGAGGAACACCAGUGGCGAAGGCGGCUUUCUGAACUGUAACUGACACUGAGGUACGAAAGCGUGGGGAGCAAACAGGAUUAGAUACCCUUGUAGUC
rnacentral:rRNA from 1 species